UCAAGGAUUCAAGUUCUUCCCAAAGUGUUUUAACAUCAGUAAAGAAAUCAGAAAUGUUUUUGUCCCCUUGCCUAAGAGAAUGGGUUUCUUGAAGAACAUCAGAUGUUCUAAAAUAAUCCCCUUUGGAGAAUCUUUCUUUAAGAUCCUCCCACAAUUCUUGCGCGUUGUCUAUGUAGACAAUGCUUUUUGAAAUGUGAGGAGAGAAAG
rnacentral:lncRNA from 1 species